CGGGUUCACGCCAUUCUCCUGCCUCCGGCUUCCAAGUAGCUGGGAAUACAGGCGCCCGCCACCACGCCCGGCUAAUAUUUUUGUAUUUUUAGUAUAGACAGGGUUUCACCGUGUUAGCCAGGAUGGUCUUGAUCUCCUGACCUCGUGAUCCGCCCGCCUCGGCCUCCGAAAGCGCUGGGAUUACAGGCGUGAGCCACCGCGCCCGGCCAUUGCUUUCUUGCAGCAACUGGGGAUUGUUGAUUCGGGACCCCUAGUCGGAGGGUGAUUUACACGUCAGUUGCAGCGCGUUGGUCAAUGUUCCAGGCUGUCAGCUCGGCACCGCCCUCAGGGCUCAAGCUACACAGGGCAUUGAAAGGUAACUGAGGUGACUUAACAAUGAAACAAGUCAGAAAUGUCCUGAUAGAGACCAAAGGAAGACAAUAUUUCAGACUCCUCUGCGUCUGUAGCAGCAUGUGUUUCUAGGAUUGUUCUGGAAGAGAAAAUGCAGAAACAGCAGGGAGCAGAAGAUAAACAGGCAAUCCGUGACUCAUUAAAACAAGCAUUGGUCGCCAACAUUGUGGAGUGUGUGAAGACCCCAGAUCCAACUCGCCUAUAAACUUUUUUUUACCAGCUGGACUUAGCAUCUGCCAGAGUUUGGAAAGAGAGAUAAUCUGGUACAAAUGAUUUCAGUGUGUCGCAUUUAUUAACCUGCCACCUUACAUAACUCUGCUGAUUGGGAACUCAGGGAAAUGUUUGAGCAAUGACACAGCUUAUUGUUGGAAUGUUACAACUUUACUAAUAAAGAUGCAAGUUACUGUUUAAAAAAAAAUACAAAGACCACAGAGCAAUUGGAAAAUAAAAAUGAAGCAAAGCUAAAAAGCAUCAUGGUCUUGAGAAAUGUACGUGCCAGAAAAAUAAUUGAAAUUCAGUUUGAAUUUUGAUCAUUUUCAGUGCUUUACAUCAAUUAGGCAGGAAAAGUAUUUUAUUUUUAAAUAGUUGUCACAUUAGUUUGUCUUAACAGCUUUGAUGUAAAUAAAUGCCAAACUGGGAGCAUUAUCAUGUCCUUUCCAAACUACUUACUGUUCUAAAUGAAUGAUUCGCUUCUGUUGUUAAAUCUCUGACAAUUGCUAGAAGGGCAUUUUCACAGUAGAACUGAAGGAAAAGUAAAAUAGUGCCCAUUUUUGUUUAUAUACAAAACCGUGUCCAUUUUUGUCUUAAACAGCCUGCCUGGCUUCACAGUUUAUUAAAGACAAAGAACAUUACCCCAGGAAUAAAAUCAGUACCGAUAACCUGCAUACUUUUCAUUCUUGGGCUUUGAUUUACUUCCUUUUUUGCCUCAAAGUUUGCUUGGGAUCAUUUGGUCAAGAGGUGGAAACACCAAAGAGCAAUUUUCUUUUUUCUAUUUCUUAUCCAGAUCUCAUGCCAGUAAUUUCAAAUUAAUGAGGAUGUUUACUCUCUGGUACAAAAUUUGCACAUACUAGCUUAUAAAAUAUGGAUAAGCUGGUUUCCUAUAACAAAAUAUAGCCCUACCAUUUCAAAAAUGAAAACUGCAGAGACUUUGGAAAAAAAUCAGCUGAAGGAAUUCUUCACGUUUCACAAUGGUUAGCCUAUUAUUUGUAGUUUUGAAACUUUAUUGGUCCCCAAUCUAAUCUUUUCUGAGUAUAAAAACAUUAACAUAUGGUUUAACACAGCACAGGGCUGGAAAGUCCAUAUCCCAAAUGCAUAUUGUAUGCAGGGUGACAUUCACACUAAAUACCAUCCCUCAGGGUCUGUACUCCAUUUUACCUGGGAUUGGAGAGCCAUGAAAUCCCUGGAAAAGUUGUUCAUGAGUCUGAACCAAAUGGUGUGCAGUGUACUGAGAUACUAACAGUCUAUGCUUCUGCCAAAGGUUGCGGCUCAAAUGUCUCUCUAAGUAACAUUAAAAAUCUGCUGCUUCAUGCCUAUGAAUUUCAAUAUUUAUAGCAUUCAAUAAAACGGUCCACUGUCAGAGAGAGAUGUGCCACUGUGCACUCUCUGAGCAGAUGGGCGGCAAUAUGGCACAUUUACAUGGACCAGCUGUGGAGCGCAGAAAUGGAUGCUGGUCAGGGGCAAGGUGCAGGCCCCACAUCUGGAAUUCUAACCGACUGGCCUCGGUACCCAUUGUAAACUUUCCUUCCACAGGGUGAGCUCUGAUUUAGAGCUGCUCACUAGUGUGCCUUAAACUGCAUCAAGAGUCCUCAUUAACGCAAGAGACUAGAGGGAGGUUAGGGCCUGGAAUCCCUCUGUCGGGCAUCUGUUAGAGUCUGUGGAUGGCACUCUGUAGUCGUUAUAGAUGCACCCAGGGGAAGAUUCUCUCAGGCAUGAUGCAGUGUUCUCUAUUUAACUGAUUUUAUACCCCCAAAAAAGAGGUUUUUAUUAUAAACAGAGCUACUUUUUCCAUAUCCCCUUUUCUAAAUGGAUCAGAAUAUACCUCAGAGAAAGGACAAUUUCUAGAAUAUUUAAAAAUUUCGUAGAAAUGUCGAAUUCUUUUUUCAAGUCUCAAAUGGAACGUUGUCUUAUUUUGGGUAGAAUCAGAAUGGUUCAAAUGCAGUUAGAAGUUUCUAAAAUAUAUGAAAUUCUUAGACUAGCUGUUUUCAUUGUAGUAUCACUAUUCAGACAAUCAAAACAGCUUAGUUGUGUGUCAUUUAAAUAAUUCAACUGACUUGAUAGAAAGGUAAGCUGCUUUUGACAUUUUAAAUAUGAACAAGAAAUGGUUUGUUACAUUCAAAUACUCAUCAGAAAUAACAUUCCUGUUUCAUUUUCAAUAAAUACUUUUAAGAGAAAGUUCUACUCAUUCUUUCAUUUUGUAAAAUAAUCUUUCCCACAUUUUCCAAUUAUUGACUAAGAUGUAUUUGGUCUUCAGUGGUCCCAUCUCUUGAAUAGUUGUUUAUAUCCUUACGUUACUGAGUAUUCAUUUUCUAUGACAAUCUCUCAAGAUCUAUUCCAGUCUCCUUUCACCCCCAAGAGAAACGCAGGUAUUUUAAGCAAGUGAGACAAUACAACUCGUUAUCAAAUGGGUUAUGGUAACUCAAUCAUGUAAUGUAUGGAUAUUUUAGGGUCUCAUCAUUCAACACUCAACUUUAAAACUACUCUGAAAUCUAAACAUAGAUAUGUAUUUAUGCUAUUUGGCCUCAAUCUUCAAAAAGGAAAAUUUUGGCCAGGCGCGUUGGCUCACGCCUGUAAUUCCAGCACUUUGAGAGGCCGAGGGGGGCAGAUCACCUGAGGUCAGGAGUUCGAGACCAGCCUGGCCAACACGGAGAAACCCCAUCUCUACCAAAAGUACAAAACUAGCCAGGCGUGGUGGCACGUGCCUGUAAUUCCAGCCACGCAGGAGGCUGAGGCAGGAGAAUAGCUUGAA
rnacentral:lncRNA from 1 species